rnacentral:rRNA from 1 species
CCUACGGGCGGCAGCAGUGAGGAAUAUUGGUCAAUGGACGAGACUCUGAACCAGCCAAGUAGCGUGAAGGAUGACUGCCCUAUGGGUUGUAAACUUCUUUUAUAUGGGAAUAAAAUGUUCCUCGUUUGGGAUUUUGUAUGUACCAUCUGCAUAAGGAUCGGCUAACUCCGUGCCAGCAGCCGCGGUAAUACGGAGGAUACGAGCGUUAUCCGGAUGUAUUGGGUGUAAAGGGAGCGUAGGUGGAGUGUUAAGUCAGUUGGGAAAGUUUACGGCACAACCGUAAAAUUGCAGUUGAUACUGGCAGUCUUGAGUACAGUAGAGGUGGGCGGAAUUCGUGGUGUAGCGGUGAAAUGCUUAGAUAUCACGAAGAACUCCGGUUGCGAAGGCAGCUCACUGGGCUGCAACUGACACUGAGGCUCGAAAGUGUGGGUAUCAAACAGGAUUAGAUACCCUAGUAGUC